rnacentral:lncRNA from 1 species
GACCAUUUUUCCAUUUUGGCAAAGGGGCAUAUAUACACGACAUAUACAGAUCAAAGAAAAAGGGGGUUUUCUUCAUUCACCAUAUUCAUCCUUUCUUUUUUAUCUUCGAACACGCGCACACACAGGAACUGGUCGAAAAAAAAAUGCACUACAAUCUCCAUUUAUUGGAUACAGGGACUGCACAGGGAUCUGGGGAAGUGCAUAAACACAUGCCAGAAAUGGGGUAGAUCGAGAAAGAGGGAGAGAACAGAGAGAGACGAGAGAGAAGAACUUGGUUAGAGAUCGAGUUUUCCAGCCACUCUUCAUCGAAAAUCACUGCACUAGUUUCGAUUUAACUCCGAAACCCAUUAAAAACUCAUCCAAACCAUAUCCAUCACUGAAAAAGUGUAUGGCUAACCCAAUAACGAAAGUUUCGCAAGAUCGAAUCGUUAAAACCAGCCCGAAAUCGAGCUGUUUCGGGUUGAUUCCGGUUGUUUUGAGUUCGGUUUCAGUUUGUUCAAGGUCACCUUUGGUCUGUUUGGGUUAGUAAGUUCGGUUUAGUUUCGGUUUGUUCAGUGUUAAUGUUUAAUACUCUCAAGUGGUUUUGUGGAUUUGGUAUUUGAAUGGGACUGCGAAUUUGGGUUGUUUAGCUCUGAGUUGGUUCAGCCAUUGUUGAGGUUUAUUUUUCGUUCAAUAAUUCGGGCUUUGGCUUCUCUCAUUCGUUAUUAUCGAUUAGAAUCUGAAUCUUUGGAGGUCCCUUUCUCAACUCUAUCCUUUUCUUAUGUUUUCGUAGUUGAAGAUGUGACUUCAUGAUGUUUUGAAUGUAUGUGAAUCCUUGUAAUUCGUGUGGUUUGAUUCAUAGACUUAUACUGAAAUUAAUUAAUGGUGUUGAUCGAAGAUGACUUGAGUUUAUGUUGGCAUAAAUGAAAUCUGGGUGGGAAUGGGAAAUUGAAAGGAUGAACACAGUUUUGUUUGUGACAUACUGAUCAUUGUUUAAUUCUGGAUAAAUAUUAAUUCUGAUCAUUGUGUUAAAAAUGGAUAGGCAAUAUAGGUUUGGGUAGGCAAAUUUUAGAAUUUGUUGUUUGGUUGAAUGUUUGAAUAUGGAAUAUUGGUUGAAUUUUUUUUCUAGUUUAUCGCAUUUGGAUCAUUUGUAUCAUUUGGCCAGGGAAUGCCCCGAAGUACUUUGUAUUGAUUUAUCUGGGGAAUGCCCUGAUGUAUCUUGUAUUUAGAAGAUGUUCGUGGUGAAGGCCCGAGGUGUCGGGUAAAACACGGGAGCGUAGUUAGAAUUAGUUUAGGUUAGCGUAGGUUUAUAUUUUUUUGUUUUUUUUAUAUAUCGGGUUGUAUAAUUGGACUGGACAUUACACUUUGGAUUAUUUUGUUUGUUGUUUGAUUUUUUUUGCGUACUUUUGUGUGAUUUAUAC